UACGUAGGGGUGCAAGCGUUAAUUCGGAAUUAGCUAGGGGCGUAAACGUGCGGCUAGGCGGUUGUGUAAGACAGAAGUCGUGAAACUCCCCGGGGCCUCCAACCUGGGAAACUGGCAUUUGUGACGUGCAGCAGCUGGAGUGCGGCAGAGGGGGAUGGAAUUCCGCGUGUAGCAGUGAAAUGCGUAGAUAUGCGGAGGAACACCGAUGGCGAAGCAAUCCCCUGGGCCUGCACUGACGCUGAUGCACGAAAGCGUCGGGGAGCAAACAGG
rnacentral:rRNA from 1 species